AUGGUGGUGGUGUAGUGGUGAGUACAGAUGUCUUCCAAGCAGUUGACCCAGGUUUAAUUCCCGGCCAACGUA
rnacentral:tRNA from 1 species